GACGAACGCUGGCGGCGUGCUUAACACAUGCAAGUCGAACGGAAAGGCCCUGCUUUUGUGGGGUGCUCGAGUGGCGAACGGGUGAGUAACACGUGAGUAACCUGCCCUUGACUUUGGGAUAACUUCAGGAAACUGGGGCUAAUACCGGAUAGGAGCUCCUGCUGCAUGGUGGGGGUUGGAAAGUUUCGGCGGUUGGGGCUGGACUCGCGGCUUGUCAGCUUGUUGGUGGGGUAGUGGCUUACCAAGGCUUUGACGGGUAGCCGGCCUGAGAGGGUGACCGGCCACAUUGGGACUGAGAUACGGCCCAGACGCCUACGGGAGGCAGCAGUGGGGAAUAUUGCACAAUGGGCGGAAGCCUGAUGCAGCAACGCCGCGUGCGGGAUGACGGUCUUCGGGUUGUAAACCGCUUUCGCCUGUGACGAAGCGUGAGUGACGGUAAUGGGUAAAGAAGCACCGGCUAACUACGUG
rnacentral:rRNA from 1 species